GGGGAAUAACACCGGGAAACCGGUGCUAAUACCGCAUAUUCUGACGAGGUCUGCGGAUUUUGUCAGGAAAGGAGCAAUUCGCUAUGAGAGGGGUCCGCGGCUGAUUAGCUAGUUGGUGAGGUAAUGGCUCACCAAGGCUACGAUCAGUAGCCGGUCUGAGAGGACGGUCGGCCACACUGGAACUGAGACACGGUCCAGACUCCUACGGGAGGCAGCAGUGGGGAAUUUUUCGCAAUGGGGGCAACCCUGACGAAGCAAUGCCGCGUGGAUGAUGAAGUCUCUUGGGACGUAAAAUCCUUUCGACGGGGACGAAACCGCAAGGUUGACGGUACCCGUAGAAGAAGCCCCGGCUAACUCCGUGCCAGCAGCCGCGGUAAUACGGGGGGGGCAAGCGUUGUUCGGAAUUACUGGGCGUAAAGGGUGCGUAGGCGGCUCUCUAAGUCGGAUGUGAAAACUCUGGGCUCAACCCAGAGCCUGCAUCCGAAACUGGAGGGCUAGGGUUCUGGAGGGGAAAGCGGAAUUCCUGGUGUAGCGGUGAAAUGCGUAGAUAUCAGGAGGAACACCGGUGGCGAAGGCGGCUUUCUGGACAGAUACCGACGCUGAGGCACGAAAGCUAGGGGAGCAAACAGGAUUAGAUACCCUGGUAGUCCUAGCCCUAAACUAUGGAUACUUGCUGUGGGGGGGAUUGAAGCCCCUUGUGGCGAA
rnacentral:rRNA from 1 species